UGAUUUCAAUUUUGUGUUUUUUAUUAGUUGGGUAAUGAUUUCAGUUUCUGCUUGAAAUCUUAGAUUUUGCCUUCAAAGGCUUGCGAAGAAAGUAGAAAAUUUCCAGGGAAUAAGUUAUUCAAAGCUUGCGAAUUUACCACCUAUAGUCGGCCUCUACUCAAGCUUUGUGGGAUGCAGAUUUUUAUGUGAAGACAAAGUCAUAUUUUCCUGUUGCUGUUGCUUCAAUGUGUUACAACUUUUAAAUUCCCAAUCGGGGUAGAACUUCAGAUGCCCAUGUUCAUAUGAACCUCUAAAUUCAAA